AUUGAACGCUGGCGGCAGGCUUAACACAUGCAAGUCGAGCGAGCGGCGGACGGGUGAGUGAGGUCUGGGAAACUGGCUGAUGGAGGGGGAUAACUACUGGAAACGGUAGCUAAUACCGCUUACCAUGAGAUGGGGCCAGAUUGGAUUAGCUAGUAGGUGGGGUAAUGGCUCACCUAGGCGACGAUGCCUAGCUGGUCUGAGAGGCUGACCAGCCAAACUGGAACUGAGACACGGUCCAGACUCCUACGGGAGGCAGCAGUGGGGAAUAUUGCGCAAUGGGCGAAAGCCUGACGCAGCCAUGCCGCGUGUGUGAAGAAGGCCUUCGGGUUGUAAAGCACUUUCAGCGAGGAGGCGGUACUCGCAGAAGAAGCACCGGCUAACUCCGUGCCAGCCGCCGCGGUAAUAC
rnacentral:rRNA from 1 species